UUUUAUUUGCAUUUGUUGUUAUGAGAUAUGGCAAAAACAUUUGGCAUUGAAUGGGGAAACAUAAUCCAUCAAAUUAUAAACAUAUUGAUGUUACAAAAAUGGACUAAUCUGGGCACUGGUUUGUCUCUUAACAAAUCGCUGUGUCACAAAUCUCGACUGGGUCGUGCCAUGGGUAUCAGCCCCAUGCCUGAUGAUGUUCCUGCUGAUUGUGAUGAAUGUUAUCUGCUCUUCCAAGAAUGCUGGGCCAUUAUGGGAGGCCAUUAUGGGAGGCGUAACCUACGAGCGGCGGUAAUAAACAGAAUCUCUCUCGGCUGUGCGGAGGUAUACAGUCUGGCACUCAGGCCAACAGCACACACAUCGCCUCACGCCUCACAGUUGCCCCAGAGACACUGUUUGGCUGUUCACUCAUUUGUUUAUGGGCUUUUGAUCGAUGCGUCCAUCCAGAUCCUCUUAAUCAGUUUCUGAUCUGGUUUCUCCCUGGCUCUCUCCAAGAAGACAAUCACAUUCAGAGAUUCAGAGUGUUUAAUAGUCACGGGUUCAGGGGUUUCAGGUGUGAUUGCAGGCUACAGUGAAAAUCUUCAGCUCCACAUUAGUCAUUAGUCAGUUAUUCAGGCUCCACAUUAGUCAGUUACAGAGACCAGGAGCAGAGCUGUCUGUUGGUGUUGGGUAAAGGCCCAGUACAGAGACCAGGAGCAGAGCUGUCUGUUGGUGUUGGGUAAAGGCCCAGUACAGAGAACAGGAGCAGAGCUGUCUGUUGGUGUUGGGUAAAGGCCCAUUACAGAGAACAGGAGCAGAGCUGUCUGUUGGUGUUGGUGUUGGGUAAAGGCCCAGUUACAGAGAACACGAGCAGAGCUGUCUGUUGGUGUUGGGUAAAGGCCCAGUUACAGAGAACACGAGCAGUGCUGUCUGUUGGUGUUGGGUAAAGGCUGUUAAAUAAAGGUUAAAUAAAAGCAAUUUAAAAAAAUAAAUUUAAAAGCCCAGUACAGAGGAGAUCCAGCUCAUAAUCAACCCUCUCCAGAGACUCAGAGUCCAGCAUAAUAUGUUUAAAAGUAUUGCUUGGUUGUAAGUACAGACGAUGCUAAAGGGUAUGUGUACAGUGUGACCUGUUUGGCCAUGCCACCAGCCCAGCGCCUCAUC
ensembl:lncRNA